rnacentral:rRNA from 1 species
GACGAACGCUGGCGGCGUGCUUAACACAUGCAAGUCGAACGGAAAGGCCUGCUUUCCCUUGUGGAUUGCGGGUACUCGAGUGGCGAACGGGUGAGUAACACGUGAGUGAUCUGCCCCCAACUUGGGUAUAAGCCUGGGAAACUGGGUCUAAUUCCCGAUAGGACUGCAGGGUGGUGCCUGUGGUGGAAAACGAUUUUCUAGUGGUUGGGGAUGAGCUCGCGGCCUAUCAGCUUGUUGGUGGGGUAAUGGCCUACCAAGGCGGCGACGGGUAGCCGGCCUGAGAGGGUGGACGGCCACAUUGGGACUGAGAUACGGCCCAGACGCCUACGGGAGGCAGCAGUGGGGAAUAUGACACAAUGGGCGGAAGCCUGAUGCAGCGACGCCGCGUGGGGGAUGACGGCCUUCGGGUUGUAAACUCCUUUCGACCGCGAGGAAGCCACCUGGUUGGAAGGGUGGUGACGGUAGUGGUAGAAGAAGCACCGGCUAACUACGUG